rnacentral:rRNA from 1 species
AUUGAACGCUGGCGGCAUGCUUUACACAUGCAAGUCGAACGGUAACAGACCUUCGGGUGCUGACGAGUGGCGAACGGGUGAGUAAUGCAUCGGAACGUGCCCAGAGGUGGGGGAUAACGCAGCGAAAGCUGUGCUAAUACCGCAUGUGAUCUGAGGAUGAAAGCGGGGGACCAGGCAGCAAUGUUUGGCCUCGCGCCUUUGGAGCGGCCGAUGUCAGAUUAGGUAGUUGGUGGGGUAAAGGCCUACCAAGCCGACGAUCUGUAGCUGGUCUGAGAGGACGACCAGCCACACUGGGACUGAGACACGGCCCAGACUCCUACGGGAGGCAGCAGUGGGGAAUUUUGGACAAUGGGCGCAAGCCUGAUCCAGCAAUGCCGCGUGCGGGAAGAAGGCCUUCGGGUUGUAAACCGCUUUUGUACGGAACGAAAAGGCUCUGGCUAAUACCUGGGGCUGAUGACGGUACCGUAAGAAUAAGCACCGGCUAACUACGU